UCUUGGGUUUCGCGGGUUGUUGGCUUCGCAAGUAGUCCUCAACCUCUUCAAUGUGUCGCUUAUAGUUGUUCCCUCGGAACUCCAGCUCCUGUAUCUUCGUGAAGA
rnacentral:ribozyme from 1 species